rnacentral:rRNA from 1 species
AUUGAACGCUGGCGGCAGGCCUAACACAUGCAAGUCGAACGCGUGGCGGACGGGUGAGUAAUGUCUGGGAAACUGACUGAUGGAGGGGGAUAACUACUGGAAACGGUAGCUAAUACCGCAUACCAUCGGAUGUGCCCAGAUGGGAUUAGCCUGUUGGUGGGGUAACGGCUCACCAAGGCGACGAUCCCUAGCUGGUUUGAGAGGAUUACCGGCCACACUGGAACUGAGAAACGGGGCAGACGCCUACGUGAGGCAGCAGUGGGGAAUAUUGCACAAUGGGCGCAAGCCUGAUGCAGCCAUGCCGCGUGUAUGAAGAAGGCCUUCGGGUUGUAAAGUACUUGCAGCGGGGAGGCGUUACCCGCAGAAGAAGCACCGGCUAACUCCGUGCCAGCGGCGGCGGUAAUAC